AGUGAACGCUGGCGGUAGGCCUAACACAUGCAAGUCGAACGGCAGCACAGUAAGAGCUUGCUCUUACGGGUGGCGAGUGGCGGACGGGUGAGGAAUACAUCGGAAUCUACUUUUUCGUGGGGGAUAACGUAGGGAAACUUACGCUAAUACCGCAUACGACCUACGGGUGAAAGCAGGGGAUCUUCGGACCUUGCGCGAUUGAAUGAGCCGAUGUCGGAUUAGCUAGUUGGCGGGGUAAAGGCCCACCAAGGCGACGAUCCGUAGCUGGUCUGAGAGGAUGGUCGGCCACACUGGAACUGAGACACGGUCCAGACUCCUACGGGAGGCAGCAGUGGGGAAUAUUGGACAAUGGGCGCAAGCCUGAUCCAACCAUACCGCGUGGGUGAAAAAGGCCUUCGGGUUGUAAAGCCCUUUUGUUGGGAAAGAAAAGCAGCAGGUUAAUACCCCGCUGUUCUGACGGUAACCAAAGAAUAAGCACCGGCUAACUUCGUG
rnacentral:rRNA from 1 species